ACAGAAGACAAGAGAACUCAGAAGUGAGGGGAGAGAGAGAGAGGACUUUCCUGCGCCUGCUACACAUUUUCUUUGCCAAGCCAGUGCAAGUAACUACCCCAGAACUGAAUAAAGUGGGGUGUCCCACACCUGCAUCGUACAAAAAUCACACUUGCGGUCCAGCCAAAGAACACCCCCCCCUUUACCAGAUUUGUACAUCGCCUUGGAUGGAGGCAGUGGCAAUGGCCAGGAAUCGCAUCAAAUGCGAAUAAGACGGUAAACAUAACAGCGGUGGCAACCGAAGAAAGAAAUCUAAGCUGAUUUGUCUUCGCCAAAAUUAAAAGAGAAACAAAAACUUCUUUUGCAACUUAUAUGGAUGGCAUCACAGAGAGCAUAAAACACCCAAGCUUCAAUAAAGAAUUAAACCAUGUGGGUGAACCAAAAGGUCUUCACUAGAUGAUUAAGAGAAGAUAAAGAAGGCACCAGGAAAGACUCACGGAGGAGGCUGUUCCAUAGCUGGGGUGCUACUGGCAAUAAAGCUUUCUCUCCCUGAUCGACACCCACUUCAUCUCAUUUCCGUUUCAAAUAUUAAAAUUAUUAUAUUACUCAAAUAAGUCCAGUUUGACUGCGGGCAAUGUGUUAAGCCUGCAGAUAUCAGAAAAAACUGGAGUUGUGUCUUGACAUUUCCUUCAAAAGCUCAAUGUAUAUUUUAAAAGAGCAAGCUUCAAAUAAGCAUCUAAGCUCUUUAAAUAGCCAUAACGCUUCCAUGCAUUAAGAUUGCCUAAAGAUUCUUUUCACUAUAAGUUAUUUUACCAGAAAUCAUACUUCAAUGUGGGUGCUCUUUGGAACAGUUUGUAAUUAAUUAAUGUGUGUGAGUGUGUUAAUCUGCAGGUUGUUAGACAGUAACUUUGUGGUUUCUGAAGCUCAUUGUGAGUAGGUUGUUUUUCAGAAAGUGUAGCCUUGUUGAAGAAAAGUGUAGUGGAAAUUUGAUUAAACAAAAGAGUGCUGGAACAGAGACAGAGCAGACACACCAUUCUUGGAAGGGCUUUAUGGUCUAGCUGCAGUUUUCAAACAAAUGCCCACCAACAGUCAGCAUUUGGACAGCAGACUAAGCAGGCAUUCAGGUCACCUAAAUACGGUGAGAAGUAUUAUAUUUCUAUUUAAGUUACAGUAAUUGUUUUUAACUUGCCU